UUCAUCGAUAUGUAACCCUGAUCGAAAAGUCCCAACCAGUGGGACUCUUGACCCCGGUAUCCAUAAUGUGUGGAACUCAUGAUCAGAGAAUCCUGAUUUCGAUCACUGAGUCUCAAACAUGUAAGAUUUUACACUAGCCAUCAGAUCAGAUAGGAACCUCUAAUGUGUGUGACCCCGCAGGUUCGAACUUAAGCCGGUAGCACAGGAACCAAUUCCUGUACUAAUCGAAGUGACCAUCUAGCAAUGGUACCCAACAUCCGGAUAGGUCGAAGAGUCACAAUCGCAACACUCAGAACCUACAUGAAUAUGGUUACUGUAUAAUUCAUCCUUUUGACCCCUGUGUUUAGGAUGACUCAGGGUUAAACUGUCAACCCUGAUCAGAUCAUCCGAAUCGUGCUCAACUCAAACAGUCCUGUGACUCCUCACAAGGACUACCCUGGCCAAGAUUUUGCUAAAUUGAAACAUGACUGUACACAGCUCCUAAACUGGAGUGAUCAAUCCCAUC
rnacentral:lncRNA from 1 species